AGGAACUGAAUGCACAAUCUAUGCUCAGUCUAGAGUGUCAACAGAAGGCGUGCGUCACCAUCACCCUCCUGAUGGGAGGUUAGGGUUAGGGUUAGGCUGUGCUUGGAGUUCGGGUCCCUUUAAAGUUCUCUCAGCAGUGCCUGAAGAAACGCAAGUUCUAUCGAUGUUGUGGCAAAUAUUCCUACUCAGUUGAUGCACAUCACAAGGAGAAGUGUUAAGUUACUGGACAAUAGCUGAGACAUGAGUUCAAAUCCCACAUUUGUAACUGCGGAACUUGCAUUCAGUUGCUGGCUUUUCUUCAAGAGUGGAAGGAAGAGAGUCAAGAGAUCGUUUGUGGAGAGUUACCUGGCAAAAUCCAGCAGGAAUUAACACCCCAGGACAUCAGAGAUCUCAGGGUAGUGUUCAACAACACCGAUACAAAUAGAUUGGGGUAUCUUAACUCAACUGAGGUUCAUUCAGCUCUACGGACCCUUGGUUUUGAUGUCAGCCGGGAGGAACUGAGGAAAGUGCUGAGAAAUUUGGGACAUUCAAAAGAAAAGAACGUGAGCUUCCAUGAAUUCCUUCAGAUUGUGAUAGAGUAUCAGGGAGAUGCGAGAGAUGUCCUUGAGGAGAUUAAACAGGGAUUUGAUCUUUUUGAUUGUGACAGUGAUGGGAAGAUCACUUUUGACAAUCUCAAAGAUGCUUGCAAGUCUGCUGGUGUCUUCUUCUCACACGAAGAUUUACGGGAGAUGAUCAAAGAAGUGGACACUAAUGGUGAUGGUACAGUGGACAUGGAAGAGUUUACUGAUCUCAUGCUGCAAACAAACUUGUUCUGAUUGAUCAACUUCCCCGGAACAUUUUCAAUCUGUCGGCACCUUCAUUCCAAACCAUAUUUAACCAACAUCUCAGUUUCUGGUCCAGUCUGAAUCCACAGUAUGAGUAUUUUUUUAAUAUGAAGCAUCAAGACAGACCUGACUAAGCCAU